rnacentral:rRNA from 1 species
GUGAACGCUGGCGGUAGGCCUAACACAUGCAAGUCGAACGGCAGCACAGUAAGAGCUUGCUCUUACGGGUGGCGAGUGGCGGACGGGUGAGGAAUACAUCGGAAUCUACUUUUUCGUGGGGGAUAACGUAGGGGAACUUACGCUAAUACCGCAUACGACCUACGGGUGAAAGCAGGGGAUCUUCGGACCUUGCGCGAUUGAAUGAGCCGAUGUCGGAUUAGCUAGUUGGCGGGGUAAAGGCCCACCAAGGCGACGAUCCGUAGCUGGUCUGAGAGGAUGAUCAGCCACACUGGAACUGAGACACGGUCCAGACUCCUACGGGAGGCAGCAGUGGGGAAUAUUGGACAAAGGGCGCAAGCCUGAUCCAGCCAUACCGCGUGGGUGAAGAAGGCCUUCGGGUUGUAAAGCCCUUUUGUUGGGAAAGAAAAGCAGCAGGUUAAUACCCCGCUGUUCUGACGGUACCCAAAGAAUAAGCACCGGCUAACUUCGUG